UGUGAAAUAGCAUAAUAGGAAAUGCAUAGAAUUUUGAAUUCUAAGAUGAAAGUUCAAAUCUUUUUUUUACAA
rnacentral:tRNA from 1 species